GACAGAGGGUGCAAACGUUGUUCGGAAUUACUGGGCGUAAAGCGUGUGUAGGCGGCUUUGCAAGUCGGAUGUGAAAGCCCCGGGCUCAACCCGGGAAGUGCACUCGAUACUGCAGAGCUUGAGUAUCGGAGAGGUUGGUGGAAUUCUCGGUGUAGAGGUGAAAUUCGUAGAUAUCGAGAGGAACACCGGUGGCGAAGGCGGCCAACUGGACGAAUACUGACGCUGAGACACGAAAGCGUGGGGAGCAAACAGG
rnacentral:rRNA from 1 species